CUGUGCAAAUAUGAGGCUCUUGAUUUGCGUUUUGCUUUGCGCUCUUGCUUUGGACGCAGUGUUUGCUUACACGGUCAAAGAGAAGACAAUAGCUCGUUUUGCAGUUAGAAAACUUGGACGUGGGUAUCAUUUGGUGAAGAUCGAGAGCGUGCAAAGACAAGUAGUACAGGGAACAAUGUAUCACGUUAGAGUAAAGGUCAAAUACCAAAUACCUGGUGGGAUUGGGCGGACGUAUCAUUGCUAUAUGAAGGUUUGGGAACGAUUAAGCGGAUGGAAGACAGUUGAACACUCCAACUGCAACUAAUGACCGCAUGAUCGUGCCUGUUUUAAGAGCAAAGUAGAAACCGCGAGAGAUUACAAGAUAUUUCGAACUUGUAUUGUACUAGAUGCAUUGUGACGCUGUUUUGAUCUGUAUCAAAGUCAUACUCAAUAAAAUAUCGUUAAAGUACU